CAUCCAGUUCAAAUCUCUGACUGACUUACACUUUUCUGAAACUCUUCUAAGUAGUUGUUUGCUUGAAGUUUCUGCUCACGAUCAGUGUUGGCAUACAAAGUAGCCAAAGCACUUAACAACGUUUCCAUGAGGGCAUAAAAAUCACUUAGAUUGAUUGCUUUACGCACUGGCAGCGUGUGUUUUUGUUUCGGUUCAGACCU